AGAGUUUGAUCAUGGCUCAGAUUGAACGCUGGCGGCAGGCCUAACACAUGCAAGUCGAGCGGUAGCACAGAGAGCUUGCUCUCGGGUGACGAGCGGCGGACGGGUGAGUAAUGUCUGGGAAACUGCCUGAUGGAGGGGGAUAACUACUGGAAACGGUAGCUAAUACCGCAUAACGUCGCAAGACCAAAGUGGGGGACCUUCGGGCCUCAUGCCAUCAGAUGUGCCCAGAUGGGAUUAGCUAGUAGGUGGGGUAACGGCUCACCUAGGCGACGAUCCCUAGCUGGUCUGAGAGGAUGACCAGCCACACUGGAACUGAGACACGGUCCAGACUCCUACGGGAGGCAGCAGUGGGGAAUAUUGCACAAUGGGCGCAAGCCUGAUGCAGCCAUGCCGCGUGUGUGAAGAAGGCCUUCGGGUUGUAAAGCACUUUCAGCGGGGAGGAAGGCGAUAAGGUUAAUAACCUUGUCGAUUGACGUUACCCGCAGAAGAAGCACCGGCUAACUCCGUGCCAGCAGCCGCGGUAAUACGGAGGGUGCAAGCGUUAAUCGGAAUUACUGGGCGUAAAGCGCACGCAGGCGGUCUGUCAAGUCGGAUGUGAAAUCCCCGGGCUCAACCUGGGAACUGCAUUCGAAACUGGCAGGCUAGAGUCUUGUAGAGGGGGGUAGAAUUCCAGGUGUAGCGGUGAAAUGCGUAGAGAUCUGGAGGAAUACCGGUGGCGAAGGCGGCCCCCUGGACAAAGACUGACGCUCAGGUGCGAAAGCGUGGGGAGCAAACAGGAUUAGAUACCCUGGUAGUCCACGCCGUAAACGAUGUCGAUUUGGAGGUUGUGCCCUUGAGGCGUGGCUUCCGGAGCUAACGCGUUAAAUCGACCGCCUGGGGAGUACGGCCGCAAGGUUAAAACUCAAAUGAAUUGACGGGGGCCCGCACAAGCGGUGGAGCAUGUGGUUUAAUUCGAUGCAACGCGAAGAACCUUACCUGGUCUUGACAUCCACAGAACUUNNUUGGUGCCUUCGGGAACUGUGAGACAGGUGCUGCAUGGCUGUCGUCAGCUCGUGUUGUGAAAUGUUGGGUUAAGUCCCGCAACGAGCGCAACCCUUAUCCUUUGUUGCCAGCGGUUCGGCCGGGAACUCAAAGGAGACUGCCAGUGAUAAACUGGAGGAAGGUGGGGAUGACGUCAAGUCAUCAUGGCCCUUACGACCAGGGCUACACACGUGCUACAAUGGCAUAUACAAAGAGAAGCGACCUCGCGAGAGCAAGCGGACCUCAUAAAGUAUGUCGUAGUCCGGAUUGGAGUCUGCAACUCGACUCCAUGAAGUCGGAAUCGCUAGUAAUCGUAGAUCAGAAUGCUACGGUGAAUACGUUCCCGGGCCUUGUACACACCGCCCGUCACACCAUGGGAGUGGGUUGCAAAAGAAGUAGGUAGCUUAACCUUCGGGAGGGCGCUUACCACUUUGUGAUUCAUGACUGGGGUGAAGUCGUAACAAGGUAACCGUAGGGGAACCUGCGGUUGGAUCACCU
rnacentral:rRNA from 1 species